rnacentral:rRNA from 1 species
AUACGAAGGGUGCGAGCGUUAAUCGGAAUUACUGGGCGUAAAGCGCGCGUAGGCGGUUGGAUAAGUCGGAUGUGAAAGCCCCGGGCUCAACCUGGGAAUUGCAUUCGAAACUGUCCGGCUAGAGUAUGGUAGAGGGAAGCGGAAUUCCACAUGUAGCAGUGAAAUGCGUAGAUAUGUGGAGGAACACCGGUGGCGAAGGCGGCUUCCUGGACCAAUACUGACGCUGAGGUGCGAAAGCGUGGGGAGCAAACAGGAUUAGAAACCCGAGUAGUCC